CCUGGCGGCACUAGCGCGGUGGUCCCACCUGACCCCAUGCCGAACUCAGAAGUGAAACGCCGUAGCGCCGAUGGUAGUGUGGGGUCUCCCCA
rnacentral:rRNA from 2 species